UCACGGUAAACAUACAUUUGGCGUUUAUUAAAAACAAAAUUAUCAAACUGUAUACAGCACCAUAUAAUGGUAGUAUGGUAUAAAUAACUCGAUAUGCAAACCUACUGAUGCAUUUCGCUUUGUUCCAAAAAUGAAAUUGGGUAAGAAAUAUUAACAAAAACUUGGAAAUCGUUCAUAUGCGUUAUAAACUUGGAAGUCGUUCAUUCGAUAUAUUUAAAAUUUACUGAUAUAUUUAAAAUUCAAUGAAACAUUAAAUGUAAUCAAUUUAAAAGACUAUGAAUUCCAUCACAUUCCAGCUCAACUAUUUGAUAAACUCUAAUUUUCAUUACAAUGUAUUAAAUGUUUUUAAAUUAUUGUUUUUUUUAAAUAAAUAUUCAUCAAAAAUUGUUCUUUUUUUUAUUGUA